UUUGUCUGGUCCGCAGCUGAGUUAUGUUCUCCCAAAGACCUCUGUGAUGAUGGAAGUCGCAUAUCAUCCCUGGUUUUCUCUCCAUUGAUAGUAGCAGCAGAUUUGGUCGACUUGAAAUUAAAUGAUGCAGUACUUGACCUGAUGUGCUGCAUGUAUAUCUCCGGUGCUGGCUUGCAUGUUCUUUGAUAUCAGGUGAGUGCUGCAUGUAAAUUGUUCUUUCUUAUUUCAGUUCCAUGUGUGUUUUGGGUCAUUCCUAAACUGCCAAUCCUAACCUUGGUAUUCCUCUUAUGCUGUAGUGGAUUUAUACAACUGUAUGAUGAUUAUCUGCUUUAAAAAAUACUCCUGGGAAGAUAAUCAGUUAGGGUCCAUGUUCUGAAGCUAGAAUAAUUGUGCACUAUUCUUCAGUAUGAUAAUCCUCCUGGGAAGAUAAUCUACUGCUCCCAGUACUAAACAUUUGUUCUGAAGCUUCUGACUGAACAUUUGUUUCAGUAGCUGAGACUGAACAUUUGUUUCAGUAGAUUAGACUGAACAUUGGUUACUCUGAUUAAUCCAAGUUACUCCAAUUAAUCCAAAUUACAGUCACUAUACAGGAUAGACAAUUCAGUUUACACGCUCAUCAAAUUACAGAACAAACAUCCAAUUAAUCCAACUGGAUGAUCCACCAGUGCAAAAUUUGAAAUGAACUAAGCUGAGGACAUGCUUUUCCGGACGGAGGGAGUACUGUAUUAACUCCAGGGAUGAUGCUAUACAUGUUUAACUCAGUUUUAGUCAUAACUUUCACCAGUAAGUUCUAAUUUGUUUCAAACUGAGCAGGUUUUGCAACAGAAGUUCCAUUUUGAAUUUCCCAUCUGUUGCAGGUUUUGUUACAGAAGUUGACGGAGGUUUGGAAGAUCUUCAAGGUGCUGAAGAUUUGGAAGACCUACGAUUAAGUUGGUGCAGUGAUCAUAUAAUAUGCUUUGUUUGUUGAACCUGGACACUUGCUCUGCUCAUUUUGCUGGUUAUGCCACUAUAUGCUCAUUUUGGUUGUGUGGCACCCUCAGAAAGAUAUGUUCUUUCUCCUUUUGUGGCACAAUUAACAUAUAUGUACUAUACCUUUUGUGACAG
rnacentral:lncRNA from 1 species